UUUCCGUAGGUGAACCUGCGGAAGGAUCAUUAAUGUGUUUGGGCCUCACGGCUCUUCAUUCCGACGCUGUGCGCCUUCGGGCUGCACGCUGAGGGAGCAUAUAUCCACCCCUGUGCACACACACGGUGGCGAGCUGGGUAACGGCUCGCCGCUGAUCUUUACACACGUCUAAAAGUCAUUGUAUGUUUAUUUGAGAUAAAAACACAACUUUCAGCAACGGAUCUCUUGGCCCUCGCAUCGAUGAAGACGCAGC
rnacentral:misc_RNA from 1 species